GGAAAGGACUAAAGCUUGACAUUAGUUUUUUUCUCAUCAGCUGACAAAAAAAAGUUUUUUUUCUCAUCGACUAUCAAUGGCAGUGAGUAACGCCUUUUCCAUUCAAUAGCCUCCCGUAAUGAUUGCAAUAACAACCAUUAAACAACUCUCUCCACUCUUUCCCAUUGAUUUUCUCACAGACCCUUCCAUGGUAACGUAUGAAACCUAUGACUAUAAAUUCCGAAGGAGGAAGGACAUGACAAUCAUCUCUUCCAACAAAACAUUCCAUACUUUCUCUUUCAAGAUCAUCUAUCUCCGAUGUCCACUUCACCCCUCCUUCUGAUUGAAUUGAAAGCCGAUCGCUGUGCUAAGAAAGUGGAGGUGCGUCUGCUCCGAUUCUGGGAAUCCGAAAGGAGGAGAGCUUAUGCAGUUAUGGGUUGACAUGCUAUCUGUCGAUGAGAAGCAUCAAACUCUCUAACUCCCCUCUUGCUAUCCGCUGCGUUUGAUCUGUUGAGGGAAUCAGUUACUCCAAUAACUGAUGAACUGUUCAGGUUUUGCAACUAUGGCCACAACUACUAGCAUUGGCUAACACGAACACUCACCUCCGAGACAUUAUUGGAGAGUUGACCGUCACCAGGAGCACUUUUAAUGACGACUUUUAAGGCAACCAGCGUACAAUGGCAAAACCAUAGAUGGAAAGGUGUCUCUGUCGGCCUAAGUGUAUUUGACGGCUUAGCAUACGAGUUUCAUAAGAAAUUGGCAAAAUGGCUUAUGGAAUCAUGGACGGUCCCUCGAAGGAUUUUCUGAGAGGGUUGUGAGGUAGCAUUAUGUUCCAUCCAGCCAAUGAAUAAUCAGGAAGUUGCACAACAAACAGAGUAAUACGAAGAUAAAUUUUAUACUGAUAUUACUAAUAAAUGAAAUGCAACUUUGAAUAGUUUCUUAAUCAAGGCCCCUCUAUUUCCUCACAACUUUUACUCAGAUUUUAAUAACUCCCUCACUGAUACCUCUUAUAUAGAUAUAAGGAUUGCAUAUGGACAUGAUACAAACAGUUACGAGAACAAGUUUGAACUUAAUAGAUAGAGACGGCUAAUUGUGGUUAUUGUAUCUAUUAUGGUUGUUAGUUCUCGAUGUUUACUUCAAGGUUGAAGCCACACUAAACCCUUAGCUUGUAGAAAGGUCCUUCCAGAUCCAGUUGACCAGCUGGUCUCACAAAUUCUCCAUCUUCUUUUGUUAAUGUCUCUUUUCCCGGUUAGUAAAAAAAUAUCUUUUCUGAAGGAGCUGAUUAUGAAAUGGUUAAAAUAAAAGUAAAAUUUGAAAGGAAAUGAGGUGAGGGAUUCACACUUCUGUUUUUAUUUUUUUUGGCAACUGGCUUCACACUUCUGUAAACACUAAACACAGUAUGACUGGCACAUACAAAUUUGCUAUAGGGGACAACGGUAAUUUUAUAAUGACACAAUCGGUCCUCCCAAAAUAACAAUAAUAUUUUAUUCUAAUAUCAUUUUGUAAUAAAUUUUUUUUUUUUUUUUUUUGUGAAAUCAUUGGUUCACAACACUACACGUAGAUAAUUGAUUUUUGGGGAGAUUCUUGGAAAGUAUAUUUUCAGAACCUUAAUGUCACCUUCUCUUCGGGAGCGGUUCCGUCUCAGUUCCGUGUAGGCUUUUAUGGUUUUCUCUUCGGCUUCUCGACAUUUUUUCUUGUAGUGAAAUCAGAUCUGGGCUCAGGAUAAGAUUCUGAUGUCUCUGAUGUUGGUCUCUGGUCGCCCUUGUCUGGAUGGGAGAAUCGAUGGGUGCUGGUCUCUUUGGCCUUGGUGUGGUGGUCUGAAUCAGUCUGGCAGAUUCUGGCACCGCUGUAGCUAGACGGUCAAGCGUUCUUUGGGAUUCUUCUUCUGGUUGUCGCUAUUGAAGGUCGAGGUUGGUUUUCAUGUCUGUAGUUGUGUUGUUAUUAGUUCCUUGUUGUUGCUUCAUGGUCACGAGGCUGUGAUGGUCUUGGAUUCACCGGAGAGUGUGGGGAUAUGUAUCUCUAUCUCGCCUGGCUUGGAUUGUUUCUCUAGGUUCGUAUCGGUUUUCAGGAGCGCGGUGCAGGACUCAGCCGGCUAUGAUGUGGGUAGUUACUUCUUCCAUCGGAUCUGGAGAGGUGAUUUCAGGUUGGCGUUUGGUGGUGCGGAGUGCUCGGCUCUCUGUGAUGGAGUUGGUUGGUCGUGAGGCAGUGUUGGUUUCUUUGUAUCUUCCGUUUGGGUCUCCCAGCUGGAUUCUAAGGCUCUAUCCUCUGUUCUCGAUAGCCUCUUGUUUCUUCCCGAAUUAUCCUCGGUAAGGUCUUGGUGCUCGACCUUUGCGUUUGUUGGUGAAUUAUCCAUUGUGAAGCUUUGGUUUGGUGACGUUGUGCCGUUCCUUGGUUUUAAACCGACGGGUUCUUCCGGAUUUCUUGGUAAGGGACUUUGGAGCUUCAGCUCAAUCACGUUUGGUCAUGGAGUAGUUUGACUGUAAUCAGUUUCUUCGUCUACUGCUCGGGUGGAGAUCCGUUUUCUCGUUGCUUCUUUUAGUUGAAGUUUGUUCGUGAGUGGCGGUUGCUUGUAGUUCUUAUCUGAACUUGUCUUGAAGCCUUUCUAUCACCCCAAUAAUUUUGACCCUCAUCGCCUUCUCGCUUAUCCCGAAGUCCUUAUCGAAUUGCUUCACUUUCUUGAUAAUGUUUUGUUAGCUCCAGAAUUCUUAGUGACCUUGUUGCUUUUAGGUUGUGUAAGGUUGUGUUCUUUUUAGUUGUCUUUCUAGUCUCCGGACGAUAUUGUUAAUCGUGCUGGCUGUUGUCUCCGGAAAGGUUUGUUCCUUUGCCGGCUUUGUGUACUUGGUUUUGUACACCGUUAAGUUAGUGAUAAUCCAUAGACGACAAAAAAAAAAAUGUCACCUUCUCUC